UACGAAGGGGGCUAGCGUUGUUCGGAAUUACUGGGCGUAAAGCGCGCGUAGGCGGUGAUCUUUGUCAGAGGUGAAAGCCUGGGGCUCAACUCCAGAAUUGCCUUUGAAACGGGAUCGCUUGAGUCCGAGAGAGGAUGGCGGAAUUCCUAGUGUAGAGGUGAAAUUCGUAGAUAUUAGGAAGAACACCGGUGGCGAAGGCGGCUCACUGGCUCGGUACUGACGCUGAGGUGCGAAAGCGUGGGGAGCAAACAGG
rnacentral:rRNA from 1 species